rnacentral:lncRNA from 1 species
CGCCAAUCUGCGCACGGCAACUUGGAGGCUCAAACCACCAACGAUCGCAAUGCUGCGUCGCGAGCCAGGCCGGUCUCCGCGGUAACCGGUUUGCCGCUGAGGACUCUGGGAGUUGUAGUUGGGAGGAAGCCGGCUGCGCUCCAGGACGGCCGAGCCGCUGCUCGUUAGCGUUGGCCUCUGCAGGCCACAGGCGGGCUCCGCGGACAGGGCGAGCAGUCCGACUCGCCCUUCAGACGUGGCUAAGUUGUGCAGGCUGGACUUGAACUUACGAUUCUCCUGCCUCAGCCCCCCAGAAUGCUGGGGUUACAGCACAGAUAAGGACAAGGCACGGGGUAGAGGGAGGACGUUCUGAAGAUGUGCAUGGAACGGAUGAAUGAAUGAAUAAGUCAGCCACUGGCAGCAUCUGGAUGUGUGGGCAGGAGUCACAAUGCAGAGGGCACAGGAGGCCUCAUGCCCAUCACAGGCCACCAGAGCACAUGAAGAUGCUGGGGCCAGGAUACCCCUUGGGGUAAAGGCAAGAAACUGACCCAGACUUGACCGAGGGAAGAAGGAAGAGAAAGAUGAUGCAAACUUGGGAGCCCUAUGGAAAAGGAAAAUUCGAGAGCUGCAGAGCCUGACUCUUGCCUCCUUCUGCACAGGAUCGGCACCUCUGCCGGUAGUCCCCAAGCAUCACACAUGCAGGACUGCCUGUUCUGGACACACUGUCCCCUAGGAAUCUGCAUUCCUCACAGCCAGAAUCUUCCUCCUCUCCAUUCCUGCCGCUAAAAGUCUUAAGUGCUGACAAGGCCGUUUCCUGCAUUCGCUGCCUUCGUCACAGCCCUGUCGGGUGAACAUCUGAAGUCACGAGUGCUCUGAGCCCCACACACACCAUGUCCUCAGCCCCCUCCCUGGUCUCCCUGUCAGAGAUGGGGGCGCCCCCGGAGCUUCGUCAUCUGUGACAAUCGUCCGCCCGCUCUCCAGCCGGAACCUCAGCGAUGAAUAAGGGCUGAUUUCUCCUCAAACGAUCACCACCCCCAAUUCAUCACAUUCAAAGGACUAUGCACCUCAUGCCGUACAUUGGGAUGUACACGAGGGCCUGUGACAUUUAAGCUCCUUGCAGAGGAACUGCAUUGGGUCAUUUGGAUUCUCCACAGCACCUCUGAGCACGACACACCCUGGGACGAGGCUGUCUCCACAGCUGUGGACACGGCAGACCAAGCAGAUGCUUCAGGGCAUUUGCCUUUGACGAAGAUGCAGCCUGCCUCUUUCUGGGAUGCUUGUCCCUCAUUCUCUUCAAGGUCACACAAGGAGAAAGGUGACCUUGUUCUUACUGUCACCCCUUUCUCCCCAGCCCCCACCCCCGGCAGGCCA